GUUCAGGUCUGAUUUUAUGUAUUCUAUCAAAUAUGAAUCACACUUGUCAAUAGUAUAUUGUUUUGUUUUCCCAUUUUUAAGUAAAUAAUGAUGUUUCCUUCAUUCACUCCAGCUUAUUUUUAUAUUUUGCAGAGAAUACUAAUUAAAAAAACAGAAGUUACUUCAGUUGUUGAGGAGGAUGAAAUGCAAUCCUAUGGCAGCUACACAGAGAAGAGCAAUCUAUGACACUGUGAGCAGAGUGAGGAGGUCUCAGGUGUUACAAAACGAAGUUGAUGGGCUGUGUCUCCAUACUUCAUAAGUUACUUGAAUCUAGCACCAGAACAAAUGAAUAAAGAAACAGUAAAGCUA